GAUGAACGCUGGCGGCGUGCUUAACACAUGCAAGUCGAGCGAAGCGCUUUUGCGGAUUUCUUCGGAUUGAAGCAACUGUGACUGAGCGGCGGACGGGUGAGUAACGCGUGGGUAACCUGCCUCAUACAGGGGGAUAACAGUUGGAAACGGCUGCUAAUACCGCAUAAGCGCACAGUACCGCAUGGUACCGUGUGAAAAACUCCGGUGGUAUGAGAUGGACCCGCGUCUGAUUAGCUAGUUGGUGGGGUAACGGCCUACCAAGGCGACGAUCAGUAGCCGACCUGAGAGGGUGACCGGCCACAUUGGGACUGAGACACGGCCCAAACUCCUACGGGAGGCAGCAGUGGGGAAUAUUGCACAAUGGGGGAAACCCUGAUGCAGCGACGCCGUGUGAGCGAUGAAGUAUUUCGGUAUGUAAAGCUCUAUCAGCAGGGAAGAAAAUGACG
rnacentral:rRNA from 1 species